UACGAAGGGGGCUAGCGUUGUUCGGAAUUACUGGGCGUAAAGCGCGCGCAGGCGGUUCUACAAGUCAGGGGUGAAAUCCUGGAGCUCAACUCCAGAACUGCCUUUGAUACUGGAGAGCUAGAGUCCGGAAGAGGUGAGUGGAACUGCGAGUGUAGAGGUGAAAUUCGUAGAUAUUCGCAAGAACACCAGUGGCGAAGGCGGCUCACUGGUCCGGUACUGACGCUGAGGUGCGAAAGCGUGGGGAGCAAACAGG
rnacentral:rRNA from 1 species